rfam:Ciona savignyi cont_32578, whole genome shotgun sequence.
GCCCGGUUAGCUCAGCCGGUAGAGCGUUGGCCUUUUAAUCCAAAGGCCAAGGUUUCAAGUCCCUUAUCGGGCU